ensembl:lncRNA
CGGCGAGCACGACAAACAGAAAACAAACGCACACAAGACGCGGAUAAGCAACAAAGAGGACGUGCGGGGCCGGUGGAAGGAUGUAACGGAGCGGGAACAACGGAGCCAAAAUGUCCGAGCGACUGCGUUCUCAUAACGGUACCAGGAAUCCCUGCCUGCUGUGACCGCUAUUUGGCCACCGUGAUCUCAGCAGCGACGCAGUCAACAGGCCGGGAUGUAGCGGGCGGAAUCUGCGGGGCUGAGCUCUCUACGUUUCCGCCAUGCAGCAGGGUUUAUUGCCACCUACCUUGGAACGAUACACCGGCUUCCAGCGGCAUCCGACCGGGGCUGCGGAGGCUGGGUCUGUCGCAGCGGCAGCCGAGAUUUGUUGCUCCAGAAAAUUGGGUAGAAAGGCUGCGGCGGAAACAGGAACUGGGAGAGCGGGGGUCUCUGAAUACGGCAGUCGAGGCUGCUCUGUACUGGAUGGCCGGUGUCAGCGCAGACCUGGGAGAGAGGGAACUCAACAUCCGGUGGCGGUUUUUCAAAUUAAAAGUCUGCGUGGUCGCUAAGAGCAGUAGCUUCCAGGAUUAUGUUAUGUUACUGCAGGUGACUGUCAGGUGGCUGUCAGGGUAUUAUCAUGAUUAAAACACUGCAGCUUAACACAAAUAGCACUGCUUUGUUAUUUCAAUUCACAUGAUUUUUAUCUAAAACCAUUCUAUAUUUCUGAAUUUUUAAUUUUACUUCCAUACAUUUUCUGGCAUAACUGCAACAUUUUAUUUUACAUGUAAAUAUUAUGUAAAUUAAUGUUACUUUACAUUACUGUUUUUUAUUUCUUUGCUUUUACAAUGUCAGCAUUUUCCCUUGUUAGUGUUCUUCCUCUUCUUUAUUUUGUUUUUGUAAACGAUUUCUGAGUACACAUAAAGUUUGAUUAAUCGACUUUGAGUUCAAACUCUUUUUAAUUAAAUGUUUAAUAAUUGUACUACACAUUUUUGUUUAUUUGUGCGUUUCUUAGCUAUUGUGAGGUAUAAUUGAGUCCUUUGGCCACAUGUAAAUAAACUUUACUUUCCCAUAUUGUUGUCACAUAAUAAGUCACCAAUAUCUUAUCGGCUCUUAAUAAACAAUAAAAACAAAGACAUAUGUUCAAUAAAAUUUUUAAAAAUCCAAACAUCUCAAAUAUAUGUAAAUAUAUGCCUCAUGUGCAAUACUUGCCUCCUAAAGACUGCCUGUACAAAUACACUUGUCCCUCGUUUUAAAAACAGUGACAGCACAUAAUCACCCACUAUUUGUCAAGUUGUUGAUCACUUGGUAAUUUAUUUUGAAGGCACAGCGGUGUGACUUCCUGUUUGUGUCUGGCUCUCUGGCUGUCUUGACUCUGGCUGAUGCAGAUCCUGAUGGAGAACGAUGGUGUGGAAGCUACAGUGCGCACACCAGUGUCAACCUCUUGUACUGCAGUCGGGCUGACAGACAGACGGGGCUGCCUGGUCUCUGUCACAGAACCGGCCCCGUGGUCAAUAACACCAUCCAGAUACAGGAACUCUAAAUAAGGCCCCCUUUGAAACCUUUCCAACUGUAUUGCCUGUUGGACUAGUUUUCCCUAAAUGGUUCUUUUCACUUUGGUCCUAACACGACCGUCUGUAAGUAGAUGCAGUAUAUUAUCAUAAAUACAUUAUAGCCUUGUGAACAUGUAGACUAUUACACUGACACAUAAACUAACCUUGUGUUUUUGCUUUCUCUUCACUUGUCCUUCUUCCUUCCUCCUCGACUAGAAAACAAGAACACAAUGUAAUUACCAUUUAAGAUUCCUGUAUACAGGAAGUAACUAUAGCCACCUCAUGUAUGCAGGAAGUAACUAUAGCUACUUCACGUAUACAGGAAGUUGCUAUAGUUACUGCCGCACCUUAUUACAACUCAAACAACUCGUAAUGUUGCAUCACUCUCAUUUGUUCCUCUCUAACAGUUUUGUAGCAGGGGUGGCAAGGGGCAAUAGUGUGCUACUUCUGGUGUCCUUUCCUGUUGAUCUAAGUUUUAAAUUUGAUCAUGAUCACUGUGAAAGGGGCUACUCCUGUGCAGAAUCAUGAUUUUUUGCAGGUUUUUGUUUCGUUCUAUUACCUAGAUUAUGAUGUUCAGUUUCCCAUUUCAGUAAGCUGUGGUGGUAAUGUUUUUAACUGCGGUGGUUCAACACCCCUGAAUGAAUGUCGAGGAAACACUGACUAUAUUUUAAUCAUAUCCUCAUAGUAAAAUAAAAAAAGGAAAAAUACAUGUGUAAAGUGGAUAUGUUUUUAUUAGUAUUUGUGUUGACCUUAUUUCAACUGAC